rnacentral:lncRNA from 1 species
UGAGGUUGCAGCAGACCACCAAGACUUUACCUUGAUCAGCAUGCACUAGCUCUUCCUCGCUCGGACUUUUUUCAUCCCAUUUGAUUGGCUGAUCUUCUUCCUCCUCUUCUCCACACAAUUCUUCUUCCACCAAAGAGACAAACUUUCUUUUUGGGCAGUCGGCUACAAUAUGCUCAAAACUUUGGCACUUGAAAUACUUACAAGGGUUGAAGGUGAUGGUAUUGGAAUGGUUGGGGUUGCUGAGGAUGCCCUUGUCCUUCUUUUGAGGUAGAUGGGAGGUGCUGGCUUUGGAGGAUGCCAAUGUCUUCGAUACGGAGCUGCCCCAGUUGGACGCUCUAUCUCUAUAUCUUGGAAAGUGCGAAUUACUUAUUCUUAGUUAUUGCUUCAUGACUUUUAUCGCCAAUCCUAUCAUGUCGCUUAGCAUCCAAUAGGGUUGAAGUUACACAACUU